AUCGCCUCCCGCCCCCGCCUAAUAUGGGAGGUCCCGCCUGCCCUGUGAUUUUAAUUUAACGGCCGCGGUAUUUUGACCGUGCAAAGGUAGCGCAAUCACUUGUCUCUUAAAUGGAGACCUGUAUGAAUGGCAUAACGAGGGCUUAACUGUCUCCCCCUCCUAGUCAAUGAAAUUGAUCUCCCCGUGCAGAAGCGGGGAUAAACCCAUAAGACGAGAAGACCCUGUGGAGCUUUAGACAAUAAAUAGCACCUGUAAAGACUAGCUUGCAGCAUAAAACAAAAGGUAUCUCUAUUUUACAUGUCUUCGGUUGGGGCGACCGCGGGGAAUACAAAACCCCCACGUGGAACAAGAACUCCAUCUUUAAACUGAGAGCUACACCUCUAAGGCACAGAAUCUCUGACCAAAACGAUCCGGCGGUAACCCCGCCGAUCAACGGAACUAGUUACCCCAGGGAUAACAGCGCAAUCCUCUCCCAGAGCCCAUAUCGACGAGGGGGUUUACGACCUCGAUGUUGGAUCAGGACAUCCUAAUGGUGCAGUCGCUAUUAAGGGUUCGUUUGUUCAACGAUUAAAGUCCUACGUAGU
rnacentral:rRNA from 1 species